rnacentral:tRNA from 1 species
GCAUAGCUCAGUGGUAGAACAGCUGCUUUGCAUGCAGAAGGUCCCAGGUUCAAACCUUAGCAUCUCCA